rnacentral:rRNA from 1 species
GUACCCAUGCCGAACACAGAAGUUAAGCCUCUUAACGCCGAUGGUACUACGAUGGAAACGUCGUGGGAGAGUAGGUAAUUGCCAAAC